UUGGCAACUUCUCGCUCUAAUCCGCCAUCUUGAACUACCUUAGAAGAAAAUGUGUUGUCUCUUUGCUAUUUUCACUGAACAUUUCCCAAAAUAUUAGAAAAAAAUUCUGAACAAGCUACAUUGAUUCAAUUUUCGUUGUUCGUUUUGUUCUUAUUCGCUGACAUUUGUUUUCCAAUUGCGUGAAAUUUGGUCAUUUCCUUAGUGUUUCGCUGACCGACCUGUGCUGGUAUUGUGAUUAAGAGCUAAUACACAUUUUUCGGACGAUUCUGCUGUGCUGCGUUCCUGCUCCGCCUGUAUAUUGCUCCGCCCGUAUUUUAUAGUGUUGCGUUCCUGUUGCGCCUUUGCAUUAGUGUGUGCGUUGUGAUUUAGACACGUUGAAAUUUUUUUGUAUGCUUCUGCUGUGCUGCGUUCCUGCUCCACCCGUGUAUUAGAUUGCUGCGUUCCUGUUAACAUACAUAUCGUCGCUUAAAGUACAAAACCGCGUAACUGACAUUUGCUGCUAAAAAUUGAACGCUGUUGAGAAGGCAUACA